AUUGAACGCUGGCGGCAUGCCUUACACAUGCAAGUCGAACGGUAACGCGGGGCAACCUGGCGACGAGUGGCGAACGGGUGAGUAACGCAUCGGAACGUGCCCAAUAGUGGGGGAUAGCCCGGCGAAAGCCGGAUUAAUACCGCAUACGACCUAAGGGUGAAAGCGGGGGAUCGCAAGACCUCGCGCUAUUGGAGCGGCCGAUGUCAGAUUAGGUAGUUGGUGGGGUAAAGGCCUACCAAGCCGACGAUCUGUAGCUGGUCUGAGAGGACGACCAGCCACACUGGGACUGAGACACGGCCCAGACUCCUACGGGGGGCAGCAGUGGGGAAUUUUGGACAAUGGGCGCAAGCCUGAUCCAGCCAUGCCGCGUGCGGGAAGAAGGCCUUCGGGUUGUAAACCGCUUUUGUCAGGGAAGAAAAGGCUUGAACUAAUACCUUGGGCUCAUGACGGUACCUGAAGAAUAAGCACCGGCUAACUACGUGCCAGCCGCCGCAGUAAUAC
rnacentral:rRNA from 1 species